CCGGGCAGCCGCCAGCGCGGGCAGACGGCGGCUGUGCGGGCACCGCGCUCCCGACACACACACCCAGACACACACACAGGCCCGCAGACACAGACACCGCCUUCUCCGCAUGCCCCCUUCACACGCACCCGCACCCCCUGACGCGCCGUGUCUCCACGCACACCUGUUCGUAUGUGAGUACACGCUCCUCGCCUUUGCCUUUCCACAGCACACACCCGGUGCUCGCACAGCUCGCCCGUGAAGGCUCGGCACACUCGCCCUGCCCGUGCGCCGAGCGCUGGCAGCUGUGGGCGCUCACGGCGCCGUGGAGGUGCCCGGCCACUCGUGCCUCUGGCCCUGGCUCGCAGGGGCACACGCGUGGCGCUGCCCGCCUGCUGCAGCGCUGGCACGCACAGCUCGUCCCCACGCACCUCUGCACUCACGCUAACAACACGCUCGGCUCUUGCACACGCAAUGCACAAGGGCACGCAGCUUCCGAGGCCUCCCUCCCGGGAAAGAGGGGCUCAUCCCGCUGUCUGGGCUCGGUCGUUUGCCCUUGCACGUUUUUCCCUUUCGCAGGCAGGAAUGAGAUGUCCUCAUUCCUCUUCUGACCCUGUGUGGUCCUCGCGACCCUCGUGCCGGCGGGAGCACACAGUUGUCCCACCUCUCUGGGGUACUGGCAGGUUUGUUUGCCGAAGCUGCUCCAGCCAGGCAUCUCUGUUCUCACUUCGCUAAUGAAAUGCCUGGCUUUGAGCUGGAAACUGAGUGGGUGGAUGACACUAAUUUUUGAUGCAAAUCGUAUCCCUGCCAGGAAAGAAGCCUGAUUAUUUUGCCCAAAACAAUUCACAUUCCUAAGGAAGAUUUUCCAUCAGAAUAGGCCCGGGUUUGAAUUCUUAAUGAUAUGCUAAAAACCUUGCAGUUCUAGUUGUUUUGCUUCUGAUAGUGAAGGUUGAUCACGCCCAGGCCCCAGCCUUUGUCAAAGAUGUGCAGGUGAGGUCUCCCAGCUGGCUGGGGCCUGUAGCCACAGCUCUGAAUCAUUCAAAAGUCUCCUUCUCAGCAGGAAUCCACUGUGUUAUUGUUGCUCUGCAUGUUUCUCAUAGUUAUUUUCUCUAACUUUUCUAUUUUUCUUUACUUACACUGAAAUUAGAUUGUUUCUAGAAAAUAACCCACCUGGAAGUUGCUAUACACAAUGAUGGUCUCCUUUCUUCUGAAUUACACAGCACCAGCAUUCAAAUCCCCAAGAGCAUUUGAAAAUAGGGGGAACUUAAGCUACAUACCAUAUUGCUGAGGUAAACUGAGAUAAUAUUUAUCCAAAAGGCAGAAAAAUGGAGACACAGAUAGUUCAGUAUGAAAUCAUUGAGGUAAUCUGGUACAGGCAGAACAAAGACUAGAUUUCCCUGGGUUUCUCAGCUCAUUAUUCUGUAUUUGAUGCCGUAGGUCAGAUGCCUUGUUUCUCCUUUUGCCAUGAUAUUUUAUGGGAUGGGCAAGAUAGCAGAUAAAGAAAAAGCUCCUACAGGUGAAUUGUGUUGGCAUUCAUACCAAACAGCUUCAAAAUGAAAGUGAUAGGAGUUUCAUAGUUCAGGGCGUUUCCAUCUAGAUGGGACUGAACACUCAUGACUGUGUCAUGCAUCUGUGGAUAUUGCACUGAGCUCUUUAAAAAUACCUGCAGCUCACCCACAGUGAGUGGAAUCCUGUGGCCUAAUUAGGUUCUGACAAUUUAUGUGCACCAGAUUUACAAAUCCAAAUCUUAUCCAGAAGUAUCCAAUGCAUUUUUUUCAGCUGGCACAGUUACAAGGUUAAUGUAAUAAACAUAAUCAACACAAAUGUAUACCUGGGCACAGCAUUUAUUUCACAUAGCAUGUUUGCUGUCCAGCAAAGCUCAUCCGCGUCAUAUUGCCCAUGCCUGUAAAAUCCUGCUAAAUCAGUGUCUCUGGUGUGCCAUGUGAGCUGUGCUGAAAACCGAGCAGGGUGUAGCAGCUGCAGGAUGCUCAGACUCAAAAUUAUACUCUAGACCUUUCCAGGACUAUUUCUUUUUUGGCUGUUGUGUGGCUAUUAGACAUUUGCUUCAGCUUGAUUUUAUCUAGCUCUCUAUCUUCUAUACUGAAAAAGACAUUAGCAGAUUAAAAUCUGGCAGAAGUUCUCCUGAGCUUAAUGUCAUGUAUAUAAAUGGAUUGGUAUCCACAGAUUUCAGACCUUAAUGACACAGUUUUUUAUCCACAUUGGUAUUAAAAUUUUUGGUGGUAUAGUAAAAUUAUUUUAUUCUAAGUUAUGGUUAUUUCAGUCCUACAAUAUUACACACAUAUUUUCUAUCUUGGAUAUUUCACUCCAAUUCCAGACUCUUCUGCAAUUAAUCUAGCAAGUGACAUUUAGCUUCUUACCAUGUUUGAUGCAAAUUGCCUGAUUUGUGUCCAUUCAGAUGUAAAGUAGGAAAAAGACAUAGGUCCUAUUUCUGUGCAGAAUUUUUCCAUUUGUUCCCUAUUUCCAGAAAACAUACAACCCUUCUGUCAAAAUAGGCUUUUAUUUUUUCUCAACUUGUCCAAUGUAAACAAUCACAGUGCUAUACUGUUAACUUCGCUGCACCAGGAAACCUGAAUCAAAUCUGCUUUUCAUUUCUUAUAAUGCAAAUGACCUGCACCCUCCAGCAUCCUAUUCAUCUCCUUGAAGGAGUAACUUGAAUAAUAUUAAGGGCACAAUAUCUCCCUUUUUUAUUGUUUAAAUAGGUAGCUAAAUUGCCAGUGUCUAGUUUAUAUAAAGCUGUAUAGGCUAGAUGAUAGCAUUUACAGAUUUGUCCAAUCUCACAGCUGAUGAAUGAGGCUUUCCUAAAAUUCCCCUCCCCUCGUGGCUACAGCACUACAGGUACCAAACGCCUCUGGUCACUCCCUGAGCAGCUGCAGACAGAUGGGGGACAAACUUCAGGGCUGGGGAGGAGGGAGGGAGUUUACAGCUCUGGUCCCUGCUCGGUGCUUGGAGGAGGACUGCUGGGAACACCCCUCGUCCUUCCCUGGCAGCCGUCCCGGUGACGGCUGUCUCACUUUCACUGCCUCCAUUCCCCUGCCACAUGACUCAGCGCCAUGAGCUUCAUUCACUGGGCAACCAAACAAAAACCUGUGCUCUGCCUGACACACACACAGCACACCCUGCACAGAUGGUCAAACUGCCCACAGAGGUCCUGUAAGCCGCGGAAGCUGCCUAAAAUCACUGAGCUGCACACAACUUGAAUGAGCCAAGCAGACCCCGCUUAGGGGUCAGAGCCCUGUGCUUUGACCUGGGUAUGUUUGCAGACAAGUUGUAUCAGCUGUGCCUGUGCUGCACCAGCUGGGUUUGAAAUUAUCUAAUUGAAAUAGACCGCUUCCAUUUUUUAAACUGCUAACUUACUGGUGCUAAAUAAGCCAAUUUAAUCAAAGAUUUGGCUUGUUAAUUGCUUAUUUAUUUGACCUGUUGAACGUUUCAUUCAAUUUGAAGAGGAGGUUCUGUUAAGCAGUGGAAGUGACUUGGUUUCAUUGAGACAGGCAAUAAUAUAUAAAUCACUGAUUUCUGAUUAAUCUGUGUCAGAUAGAUUAAUUGCACCAUGACUGGUAGAAGGCUUCAAGAAAAAUCCUUAGGUUUUGUCAAGUCAAAUAUUAGGUUUUGUCAAGUUAAGCACCUGACCUGGGCAUUUCCCCACCACUAUGGAAGGCAGAGAUUCUUUCAGAUACAGAGAGUGGAACACGAAAUAUUCAAGUGCUAUAAAAGAACAAUAUUGAAGGACGUUACAUCUCAUCAUCUGCAUACUUUGUGCUGCUUUAUUAAACUCACACACACAAAAUAAUCAGCUAUAUAUCAUCUCAUUAGUGACUAUUGUUUUCUUGAAUGUAUAUACUAAAUAAACUCUUCUUUGCCACAUACAAGCCACAAUUUAUUCCAUGGUUUUUAACAAACCAUGAAACCUAAACAUUAGGCAAAUAGAAUAUAAUGUAUAAAUUAAAAUGAGCAAAAUUUAUAUUAUAUUCAUUCAUACAAUCAUUUGAAAAAUGGGAAUAUUUGGGCUCAUAUAAGCGUCCACAGAUUUUGUCUCAGCUUUUUGCUUGUCCAUGUCUGUCUAUGAACUGGGUGACCCAAUAAUUCCUUGUAUUCCAGUAUCUUUUGAAGCAGGAAAGGUAACUGAACUCCUAUGCAACUGUGUUUCAUGAGCUGUUGCUGAUGGAAAUUAUGUCAGCAACAUUCACGCAUCAGCAAUAAUCACUCCAUUUUCUCUCAUAAACACUAAACUCUUCAACAUUAAUGUAUACAGUGCUUCCAGCUUUCUACUUGGCAAAGUGAAACUUCUGUAUGUAUUUUCUGCUUGAUGCCUUGGGCUUACAUGAAUCUUAGGCUUUCCCUUAGUAAUCUUUUGAGAGAUCUCCACUACGAACAAAACUAAACUUCUAAAAACUGUUACAAUUUAAUUUUUAAGGACUUUCUGAAAGUAGUCUUUUCUUCUCUGACUGGCUUUUCAUUUUAAACUGCAGGUCUUGGAAAGCAGUCAAGUCUAUAAAAGACAUUUAAAAUACCUUCCAUUUUCUUCCCAUCACUCACUAAGACUUUUGGUUAAAUAACAAUGAGUAAAGAAAAGUGUUAAGCCGCUCUUAACUGGCAGGCUAAAAUAUGCAACAGGGGAGCCUUUGCUUCCAAUAACUGUGGAGAAGAAAGCAAGCUGCAAACUUGGCUUGUGACAGGAUGGGGGGAAGUAAUAUCAAAGUUGAGAAGGAAAAAAGGAGUGCAAGGUGAUGUUUAUGUAAUCAGAAUAACAGCAGAUAAGGAAAGGAAACAGACUGGUUUGGUACAGAUGUCUGUGGAGAGAAGAAGGUAGAGAAACCAGAAAGGACAGGGUGGAGAAGGAAGAGGGAUUUCUGGAAUCAAAGCCAAGCAAUGGCUCUGCAGGGUUAUUUCUGGAGCUGAUCAGCAUAAGAGGAAAAGCAGCAUGAGGCACCUCUGAAGUGAGAAGAAAGGAGGUUGGUGUUUUCCAUCCACCCUCCAGAAAAUGAAUGAACUCUACAGGAGAAAAUACAAUGAAAAGAAACAUAUGAUAAAGGAUCAUAUCUGGAGCUGAGCAGAGGAUUCAGUGGGAAUAGAACCACUACACUUGAUGAUGAAAGAAAGUAUUUCAUUGUGUACUUAUUCUUUUUACUCAUAAAAAUUUUAUUGUGUUACUGCUUUGUUAACAACAAUGUAGUUAUCAUUUCCUUGGCCCCUGGCAGGCCAGAGUGGUUGUCUUAUAUAACAAAAAUGUGGUUUUGACUUAUUUAUCUUUCUUCUGGGCCUAAGGAAUGCUGUAAUAUAUAAUACUAUAAUUGCUGUCUAUACUAAGAUGGUCAUAUAAGGAUCAUAUAUAUUUUGAUAUAAACAUGUGUAUUGUAUUAUAUCCCAUGUAGCACAAAACCACAUUAGAUCCCCAUUGAACCAGUACUGCCAGACUAGAAGAAAACACAUGAAAAAAAAAACAGAGCUAAAACAUGUCUCUGUAGCAAACCUCCACUGUGUGAUCUUAAACAGAUUCAUGAUUCAAAUCAGUGGAUAUCACUAAGAAUGAAUAUGCCUUUUAUGUCACUGUGUUUUGAGGAUUUGUUGGUUAACUGAAGGUCGGGAUCACCUGUUCUGUAGUAAAAUCUUGCAAGUUCACCCUGGCAACUGGAUGUUAUUAAGGUAUUAAUAACUUCAGGUAUUAAAGGAAGAAUCUAAAUACUGGAGAUGAGUGAAAAAAAAUACCAGAAAGUAGUCUUUAUGAUAAUGUAAUUUAGUUCAAUCAUUUAUGAUAAUACUAUUAAAAUCUAGCACAGUAUGAAGAAUAAAAUAAGUGUUAGCAGGACAAGACUUUACUGGGUCUUUGGGUUGUUAAAUAUCUCCCAAGGUUAGCCAGGUCCUGCAGUUUUUUGCAAGGGACUUAAUCCUGUGGGUCAGAAUCUUGUGCUUCUAAACCUGGUCCUUGGGCCUGGCUCACCAAUGCUUUGAGAUAAGCCCAACAUGAUCAGGAUAGCUGAAUGCUAUGCUGCCUUCAUGUCGCUGCAAAAGACUACAGAGUGGGAACAGUGUAGAGCAGUAACAGUGUAAAGUAGUAAAGUAGCCAGCUACUUUAUAGAUCUUAACCAAAUCCUGUACAGCUCUUUCCUUCUCCUAGACAGAAACUGAGGCAAGAAGGACACGUGAAUUGCAGAUGCCUGUAGAAGAGAUGGUUGUCAAAAACAAUAUUACAGCUGAUUUGCCUGUGCAAACACUAUUAGACCACACCUUAACAAGAUGAAUUAUUAAUAAAAAAGCUGCACGGGAAAUUAAUUUCUGCUGCCUCUCACCAAAACCAGUUGUUCAGACUUGAAUGUGUCACAGUUGCACAACGUAAGUUUUGCCUUAAGGACACAGUUACCCAACAUGAUGGAUUUUUCAUGAUGUCCUUCCUAACAGUAUCCUCAUCCUUCCUCUGUCCUUCCAAUUUCCCUCUUCAUCACCAUGAUAUCAAUUUUUGGUUCAGCUUUCUAGAAGGUGCAGAAUGAUGGGAGUCCUGUGUUUGUAUGGUGAGCACAGCAUUAGCAGUCCCAGGCUGGGCAGCAUCCUCUGUGCAGCCUUGCCAAUCUGCCCUGGAUAAAAUAGGGAAAAAAAAAAUUACAUAUUUAAAUGACAGGCAUCAAACCCUAGCACAUGGAUGGAAUCAAUGUUAAGUUACCCAUCUCUGGUAAAAUAUCCAGGUGAAAGUAGUUCCAAUGAGACUGGGAAAUUUUCUGUUUCCCUUCAGAACCUGCUGAUGACUACUAGCAGAGGUUACUUGCUGGCCAGUUCUAUUAUUACACUGUGUAAACAUCUUAUCCUGCUGUACUGUGUUCCAGACUCCCUCCCACUUCUCUGUUCACAAUUGAUGGAGUGCCUAAGACCUGGAUGAUGAGUUCUUCGGCUUAGAACUUGUACAAUUUUUUACAAAAUCCCAUUUCCUAGUUAGCAUCCUUAGGCAUUACCACAAUAAAACCAAUAAAUAGUAAUAACAAAAAAAGAAGGAUGGAAGGUGGGUGAAGACAUGACUAAUUACUUAAACAAUACUUGGACCACAAGCCACAGGCAACAUAGGAGCUUGGGGAAGAGCAAGUGGGUGGAGAGUUACCUGAACAACAGAGGGUUGGGCAGGUAAAGAAUAGAUAUUGCAAGACAAAACUGAGAGUUUUUAUUUUGAUAGCAUCAUGGAAUUUAUAAAUUAAGGGAUGACAGCUGUAGAUUAAGCAUGGCACAAGUUGCUUUACUCUCUCUCUCUGUGCAGCCUGGCUUGGCACUGUCACACAGAAAAAAGCUAGUUGAAAUGGUGAUAUAACAAGCUGGGAGAUGUGAGAAGCAGAAGUUCCCAAACCAGGUUGGCAGAAGGACCACGUGCUGUACCAUGGCAGCUGCAGCACCAAACCUUGCCUCCCCUUCCCAUGAGGAAGGCCGUGCUUCCCUCUCAGGGCUGGGCUUACACUUGGGUGGAGGAGAGGCAUGCACUUAUCCAGGUAGUGUUGGGUUAAACAACAACUCCUCACCUUUCCCUGGAAAAUGCAAGAAACUGAGCCUUGUUUGCCUUAAUAUUUAUUUUCAUUUAUUUUCAUACCACUCACUGUGUGUAUGUCGCUUGGAAACACUUAGGCCAAAAGAUGAUACAACAGUGACAGACUGAACUUUAUUUAAAUUUAUAUUUGUGGAUUGGGAGCAUAGAUGUAGUUGCUCCUGAAAUGAAGGAGCACUUCUUUGCACAGUGGGUAAUGAACUUCUGGAAUUCAUUGCCACAGGAGGUUGGGAAAGCAGGCUAUUAGCAGGCAUAAAAAGGGAUUAGAAAAGAUUUGUGAACAAUGCCUCUAUUAACAGAUAAUAAAAGGAACAGGCAGUUCCAAUGUCCGUGGGCUUAGGAGACUGGACCAGAGGAAGAGGCCAGGUACACAUGCUCUCCCUGAAAAGCAUCUCCUAUGAUCUGAGGCUAUGCAAUCUGGAUCUGCCUUGGCCAUCUCUGUUAAUGUUGUGCUGGGAGUGUGGGGCACUCUCCAGGCUCUGCUGGGGCCUUCAAAACCUGUGGCUCACCAGGGCAGAUGGCCAGCACCCAUGCAGCUACCCCAGGGCCAUCACAGGCACUGGGCAGCAACAGCACCCGCAGAACAUUUCUUAAUGCUCUGAUGGGUUAAGCCCUAAGUGGUGCUGCUCUCAAAGAGGGCCAGAAACCAGCGUGGUGGAGUUGAAAAGGAGUUAUAAAGAACAAAAAGGAACUGGCUUUAACAAAUCAUUCACUGGGGAUCAGGAAAAUACAGAUGGAGGGAGACAUAAAAUUCUGUUAAUACACUACAAGUUUGAUAAUUGUUUGGGAUAGCACCAAAGGAAUUCACUCUCCAAAAAGUGAAUAAAAACAAGUAUUCCUUUAUUUCAAGGGACCCACUAAAAGGAAGAGUGAAAUCAAACUAGACAUGACUUUUCAGCUGUCUCUUUUUUCCAGCAGAAUGCUCUAAGUCUAGUUUAUUCUGCUCAUACCAUUUCUGAGUACUUCUACUGCCCUUUUCUGGAUUCUUCCAAUUCUGUUACCUCCUGCCUGAAAUCAGGGCAGUAUACUGAAACUACUCUCCAUGUUAGGCUGCACCAUGGAUUCUUACCCUAGCACAAGGAGGUUCUCUGUUUUUCUUAUUUUGUUUGCAAGUCCUGAGGCUGUGUUUGUCUGAUUGACCAGCACUGAGCUGGCAUUUGUUAUUCACCAUCUAAUAUCUUCUUCCUCUAUGGUAAUAGGGAAAUCUUUUUUUGUUUUGUUUUCCCUGUAAAAUGAAAGACCAUUUUCUCUUCUGUCUUUGUGCUCUGAAUUUCAUUUACCACUUUUUAUCACUGAGUCAUUCUGGUUUAGGAGAUUAUUCUAGAUAUUUUCAUAACUAUUGAAGUUAUUAUCUCAUUGUCUGGCUUUCCAUGGAAAAUGUAGAUCUUAGCAAAUAUUCUUCUGAGGCUCAGAUAAUCAAAACAUUGAAGAAAUUAGGGCUGUUUUAGAAAAAUGUGAGGAAUGAGGAAGACCUGUAAUAUGCGAUAGACUGGUACAAGGGAAAAUACUUAAAUUAGCUCUGUGUGUGUGUGUGUAUAUCCCUGGUUACACAAUAGCCAUGGAGCACAUAACCAAAGAACAGAAAUACCUGGAGGGAAUGAGCAAAGAAGACUUACAGAGGAGCAGACUGUGAUUGAGAAUACAGAAGGAGGAUCUCAGGAAUGAAGUUCAUUACAGUCAUCUAUGUACAUAUCCAAGAAAAUCUCUUUGGGAAAGUAAGAAAUGCAUCACUGCUGGGACACUGUAAAUGCCACUGGCAGAAAAGGACCAAGAGCAGCAGCAGUGUCCAUUCAGAAAUUACUGUGACCUUAUUUGUAUCUCUAGGCCCAUGGACAAUGGCUAAUCAACACAAGAAAGAAUUCUGGUUUGCUUUAUGCUUUUUCUUCUUUCUGUUUUCUGUUCUUUGAAUGAAGUCCUACUUUAACAAGUGUGGCAGUGUAAUGAAAAAAAGUUCCUCACAAAUAUUGAAUAGUCAUAUAGCAGAGAAAAGAGCACCACCUAGUGCUAAGUGCUGUUUCUUGAUGCUGAGGUGUCUCCGUGCACUCUUAUCUUCUGGAUGUCUUGAUUUUGGUGUUUUCCUGCAGUUUACCCAUCCAGAGAAGAUGUAAUCCUUGGCAUCGAGGAGUAUCCAGGCUGUUGAUAAGAGCAGCUGGUUCAUCAAGAGCUCAACAUCUCUCAGAGUUUUGUGCACACUAAGGUAUGUGCAACAGAAGCAUGAGGCAUUUUAUCUGUGAUCUUGCAGCAGAUUAGUGUUCUGUGAGUACUUGGGCAUGAUUAAUUCCUCCUACAGCAAAAAAUAAAGUAACAAAUUGCCUUACUGAAAAUAAGUUUUCAGUCAAACAAUCCAGAUAGAUAGAGUAGCAAAAUAGAUGAGUUUUCAAAAAGAACAGUGUGGAUGUGGCAAAAAAAUCUGAUAAGACAUUUUUCUCAACAGAUCAUCUAUUCAUGAGGCAAGCAGCUGAAGUGAGGCUGAGAGGAAGAGAACAUUUUUUCAGAUCAGCCCCAGAAAUACUGUAACUAAAAAGUUAAAAACACAGUCAAAAGCCCUUUUCUGCCACUGCCAAACUUAAAAUAAGUACUUGCCAGAAAAGACUAUAAAUAGGACAAAGCAAGGAGGGCGGGCUGUUUUAUUUCUGAUACCUGAACAAAUAUGAGACAAUGGGGCUUGUGAAGGUGCAGGAGGCUUGGUACUGCUCUGCCUGUGCUUGGUGCUAUACCAGGGCUUGGCAGGACUGAACAAAACAUCAGUGAAACAUCUGAUGGGGGGCUGCGUGAACAAAACCAGUAAUUGAUAAUGACAGAGACUAAAUUUCAAGAUUUUGCUCUACAUAAAAUUAGAAAAUAUAAUGUAAUGAUUUUUAAAGAAAUAUUUAUAAAGUUAGAUUCAAAAAACAGGCAUAUGCAAGAAAGACAGCACCUUUAGUAAUCCUAUAGUUUUUCCCAAUUUUCCUUCCAUUCUUGUUUAAGGAUGCCAGUGGGUACCCUCCCAGGAGCACAUAAAGUGCUUUCUCUCAGCAGGCUCCCAACAAAGAUGGAGCUGUGCAGUGAUUAACUGAAUUACCAUUUGGAUUUACUCUGGUAAAGGGAACAGGCUGCAAUUGCUGAGUAGUCCUGGGACCUCACAGAGAGCUGGAGUGCUCUUCCACCAACACCCAGAGCUUGCAAAAAGCACUGUAAAACACCUGGAGCACUCCCUUUUGGCAUAGGGCUCUGGCAAGGAAUGGGAAUGGUUCUUCACAAAAGCCAUAGAAACAACUAUGCUUCUAAAAAAAUAUUCAAGGUGCUGCUUAUGUUCUGUUAUUUUUAAGCUGAGAAUACAGACAAGCUACAGGACCUGGAUCUGAACUGGGGUGUGGGUUGGUGUGCAUGUGUGCACAUGUGCCUGGGGGAGCAGUGCCUGUGUUCAUAUAGUUUCUUCCUGAUCAGCUGGUUUAUAAAGGCUUAUUAAAAGACAAAAAGGGAAUGAAGUUCAAAAAAAAGCAUCCUCUUGUCAGCAAAAUAAUUAUAUUAUUUACUCUAAAGGUGUAAGAUUUAACCUUCAUUUACCAGGAUACAAUGGUCAUCUCUGUGGUUACUUCAAUUUACAUUAUAACUGAGUAUGACAUGUGCAUCUUGUCUCUUCCUGCCUAGCACCCUCCCUGAACUCUCCUAUUUUCCACUUGGAAUGCCUCGAACAACAGAUAAGGAAGUGUGCAAUUUUAUAUUAUCCCUUUAAAAAACUCUUUUCUAAUGUCUAAAUAAUUUCAUCUGAACACUUAGGCAUUGUAACUCACACUGAACUGACUCCCCUCUGCCUGUGAACAAUAGUGCACCUACUUGUCUCCUGUUUCUUCCUGCUGACAUGGCACAGGUCAGUGAAGGUACUUAAGUAUUCUGGAAAUAACAGCCAAGUCAGUGGCUUAGGUCACCCAUAACUACAUCGACUUCAGAAAUGAAGAUAUGAAAUGGCUCACCCAUGAAUGCAGCACAAAUAUCCCAGUAAGUGCAAUCACAAUCCUGGCUUUCAGAGUCCAAAUUCCUAGCCCACCUUCUUGUUAUGACUUUUGCAGCCAGUAAGACAAAGAGCAUGUUUAAUGUGCUGGGCCACAGUAACAGCAGCAGAAAUACAUACAGCUGCCUGCAAAAACUAGUGAUAGCCUCAGGAUAGCAGCAUUUCAUUUUCUUGCACGGCUUCUUUUAUAAUUCCUUUAAUCUCAAUUUUCUGAAGGAAAAUGAAAGCUGUAUUUGGCAAAACCCAAAUGGGUUACUCCUGGGAUCCACAGCCCUCUGCAUCCUUCAUCCUUGUGAAUCCUUGCAUUUUCAUGCAAGAAUGAGCAUUCAGCUGCCAUGAAAAGAUAAGCUUAAAGAUGAGCCUAAAAGUUCCUUUUUCAGAUCUACAUUCCAAAGCACCUUAUCAGACAUGGACUGAAGGACAUAAGAAAGGCUAACACAGCAGAUCACAGCCAGAGAGUCCACCCCUGCAGAGCUUUCGGGCAUGGAAGCCUUUUUCACUGUUUAUGUAAAGAGAGCCCAAUGUUGUGCAGGAUGGAUAUGCAAUGUCAACCCUGAGCUGAGCAAGGAACAAAGAGACCAUGGACUGCAUGAGCCCCAGCUCAGUAUGACACUGCAGGGAUUUGUGUCUCUGGAUUUCAGAGCCACUGGAAAAGCUGGCAGAGCUCUCUGGAGUUCCUGCUGGUACCAGUAACCAAAGAAAAUCCAGGGCUAAAGAGAUCAGGUGAAAUAGCCUCAGAGAGAGGAAAUGGGCUUGUCCGUCUGUUUAUACAUGGCCUAGCACAAAAGCUCCCUGGACAACACCCAAAGAUAUGACAAAUGCACAAAAUAAUGAGGAAUAAUUAUAAUCUGGGGUGCUGAGAAACCAUGAACAGGUUGAACUUGCUCAGUAAUGUCAUCAGCCCCAACCGGACAGGCCCAGUCACGCGUGCACGGCGCAGCUCCACAGCCUCAUGGCUCCUCUGGUGUGACAGGCUGUCAGCAGCCUAGGGCUGCCUCUCCACUGACACCUGUUAAAUAUUCACACAUUUUCAAAGCAGGUCAGAAGGAACUACUUUAUGUGUAUGUACUGCAUAUCUGCAUGCUUUUAGCCCCCAUUUCUGGACAUGCUUUUUCACUACACACGCUGAAUACAACCUUCAUUUCGUAUGAAAUUAUGGCUCUGGUAGAGCUGACAACUUUACAGGUGUUGAUGGGGGCACCUUACAGAUAAUAAAAAGGUAAGAAACAAAACAGCAUUUGUCUAAUAUCCAGGUGGUGAGAAAAACAUUAGUGUGGGCCUCAGUGGAAAGGGAGCUCUGCCUCCAGCAGCAAGGGGGGCUACUGCCAGCAGUCACUGCACUGGGUUCUUCGAGGGCUUGGGCUCAGGAGCAUCCAGAACAGUGGUGCUGGGGAGGGGGAUUGUUGUUUCGGUGGAUUUGAUGUAUUCUGUUUAUACUGACUGAAAAAUGUUUCAUGAGGGUAACACAGAAGCUAAAUGCCAAAUUGGGCUAUUUAUUUUACUUCCUUCUAACUGGAUGUCCCAGAUUGCAGGCAAGAUGUAUUCUAUUUGCCAUCUGUAUGGCAGUUGUCUUUUGUCAAGUGGGCAGUUUUCCUUAUCUCUUCCACAAUCACUCCUCCCUCUGGGGAGACAUCUGCUGAUAACAGGCUAUUGAAUGUCACUGCAUGCCUGAUAAGAACUACAGCAUCCCAUUGGCAGAUGCUCCACCCAUAGGGAGGAGCCAAGCAUUCCUACCUGGAUAUAAUCUGGAGAUUCUGGAAUACCAGCACAGCUUCUCCACUGGAUUUCCCAGAGGAACAACAGCUGCCUCUUCCACUGGAUCUUCAGAGGAAGACUACACUCUUUCUACAGGAUCCCUGCUCCAACAGAACCACACCUGACACUCCAGGAGGACUGCAGCCACAUUUUCAAUUGGACUGCUACCAACACCCUGACCAACAGGGUGUCAGGCUGAGUUCUGACUCUGUCAGUGUUGUUUUGGUUUACUGCAUGGUUUAUUUUAUCUUUUUAUUUUCUUCCCUAAUAAAGAACUGCUAUUCCUGCUCCCAAA